UAGCCAUAGUGUGGGAAAGCAAAAGGUAAUUCCUUGAACCGUUCCCAACAUUCAAAAAAAGUUUCAUCCCCUUUUUGGGAUAAAAUCAUUAUGUCACGUAUGGGAGU